GGAGAGGUACCCAAGUGGCUUAAGGGGACGGCUUGCUAAGCCGUUAGAUCGGGGCAACUCGGUGCGUGGGUUCGAAUCCCACCCUCUCCGCCA
rnacentral:tRNA from 1 species